CUACGGGGUGCUCCAGUCGAGAAUCUUUUGCAAUGCCCGAAAGGGUGACAAUGCGACGCCGCGUGAGCGAUGAAGGCCUUCGGGUUGUAAAGCUCUGUCAGCUGGGAUGAAUGCGGGAAGGCGAAUAACUUUUCCGCUUGACGGUACCAGCAGAGGAAGCAACGGCUAACUCCGUGCCAGCAGCCGCGGUAAUACGGAGGUUGCAAGCGUUGUUCGGAUUUACUGGGUGUAAAGGUAUGUAGGCGUCUUACUAAGUCGGAUGUGAAAUCCCCUGGCUUAACCAGGGAACUGCAUUCGAUACUGGUAGGAUUGAGUACGGGAGAGGAAAGCGGAAUUCCGGAAGUAAGAGUGAAAUCUGUAGAUAUCCGGAAGAACACCAUUAGCGAAGGCGGCUUUCUGGUCCGAUACUGACGCUGAAAUGAGAAAGCUAGGGGAGCAAACAGGAUUAGAUACCCUAGUAGUC
rnacentral:rRNA from 1 species